UACGUAGGGUGCGAGCGUUGUCCGGAUUCACUGGGCGUAAAGCGCGUGCAGGUGGUUUGGUAAGUCGGGCAUGAAAACUCUUGGCUCAACUAAGAGACGCUGUCCGAUACUGCCAGGCUUGAGGGCAUAAGAGGGAGGUGGAAUUCCGCAUGUAGUGGUGAAAUGCGUAGAUAUGCGGAGGAACACCAGUGGCGAAGGCGGCCUCCUGGUAUGCUCCUGACACUCAGACGCGAAAGCUAGGGGAGCGAACGGG
rnacentral:rRNA from 1 species